ensembl:lncRNA
CCAGGCGAGUUCACAGAAACCGCCUCCCCCUGAAGCUCCGCCUUCCACUUCAUGUCUUAAUUCGCGGAGUGACCGUUGGAGUGAUGAGUGAACACACGCACGUCUUCAUUUGACCUGAGUGUUUUGAACUUGACGGCCCGGCGGCCCCAGCAGAUAUGAAGACGAGCUCGCAGGAGGGAAUCGAGAACCCGGAUCUGUUGGAUUGUUUGCAGAUGAAGAGACUUUAUCACAAAGAACUAAAAACAAAAAGCAAAUAACGAGCUCACCCACCAGGCUCAGUAUUCAAAGCUGCAUUCUGUGUAGUGACCAGCAGGGGGCGACUCCUCUGCUCCCAUAGACGUCUAUGAGGAAAUGACUCUACUUCUCUGUAGUGACCAGCAGGGGGCGACUCCUCUGCUCCCAUAGACGUCUAUGAGGAAAUGACUCUACUUCUCUG